GAAUAUUGGACCAAUGGGCGCAAGCCUGAUCCAGCCAUGCCGCGUGAGUGAUGAAGGCCUUAGGGUUGUAAAGCUCUUUCCGCUGGGAAGAUAAUGCCAGGUCCCGGCAGAAGAAGCCCCGGCUAACUCCGUGCCAGCAGCCGCGGUAAUACGGAGGGGGUAAGCGUUGUUGGAAAUUAUUGGGGGUAAAGCGCAGGUAGGCGGAUUGGAAAGUUGGGGGUAAAAUCCCGGGGUUCACCCCGGAAACUGCCCUUCAAAACUGCCAGUUUAGAGUUCGAGAAAGGUGAGUGGAAUUCCGAAGUGUAAAGUUAAAAUUGGUAAAUAUUCGGAGGACCCCCAGUGGAGAAGGCGGCUCAUUGGCUAGAUAUUCUCGCGAUUAAGGUGCAAAGGGUGGGGAACCAACAGGAUUUAGAUACCCUUGGUUGUUCACCCCGCCGGUAACCGAAUGAUAUGCCAGCUGGUCCGGCGCACGCAAUGGCUGACUCCGGUGGUCGCACCGUCAGACCGGCAUUAAGCCUGCCAGCCUGGGGAGCAGCGGG
rnacentral:rRNA from 1 species